rnacentral:rRNA from 1 species
UUCGAGUGGCGGACGGGUGAGUAACGCGUGGGUAACCUGCCUUACACAGGGGGAUAACACCUGGAAACAGGUGCUAAUACCGCAUAAGCGCACAGGGCCGCAUGGCCCGGUGUGAAAAACUCCGGUGGUGUAAGAUGGACCCGCGUCUGAUUAGCUUGUUGGCGGGGUAGGGGCCCACCAAGGCGACGAUCAGUAGCCGGCCUGAGAGGGUGGGCGGCCACAUUGGGACUGAGACACGGCCCAAACUCCUACGGAAGGCAGCAG